rnacentral:rRNA from 1 species
UCUGGUGGCGAUGCGCUUAGGGGAAACACCCGUUCCCAUCCCGAACACGACGGUUAAGACCUAAGCGGCCGAUGGUACUGCAUUGGAGACGAUGUGGGAGAGCAGGUGGUCGCCAGAU